GACGAACGCUGGCGGCGUGCUUAACACAUGCAAGUCGAACGGAAAGGCCCUGCUUUUGUGGGGUGCUCGAGUGGCGAACGGGUGAGUAACACGGGAGUAACCUGCCCUUGACUUUGGGAUAACUUCAGGAAACUGGGGCUAAUACCGGAUAGGAGCUCCUGCUGCAUGGUGGGGGUUGGAAAGUUUCGGCGGUUGGGGAUGGACUCGCGGCUUAUCAGCUUGUUGGGGGGGUAGUGGCUUACCAAGGCUUUGACGGGCAGCCGGCCUGAGCGGGUGACCGGCAACAUUGGGACUGGGAUACGGCCCAGACUCCUACGGGAGGCAGCAGUGGGGAAUAUUGCACAAUGGGCGGAAGCCUGAUGCAGCAACGCCGCGUGCGGGAUGACGGCCUUCGGGUUGUAAACCGCUUUCGCCUGUGACGAAGCGUGAGUGACGGUAAUGGGUAAAGAAGCACCGGCUAACUACGUG
rnacentral:rRNA from 1 species